rnacentral:rRNA from 1 species
CGCUAUCACUCCUACGGGAGGCAGCGAGUGGGGAAUAUUGCAACAAUGGGGGAAAACCCUGAUGCAGCCAUGCCGCGUGUGUGAAGAAGGCCUUCGGGUUGUAAAGCACUUUCAGUAGGGAGGAAGGUAGUGUAGUUAACACCUGCAUUAUUUGACGUUACCUACAGAAGAAGCACCGGCUAACUCCGUGCCAGCAGCCGCGGUAAUACGGAGGGUGCGAGCGUUAAUCGGAAUUACUGGGCGUAAAGCGCAUGCAGGCGGCCUGUUAAGUCAGAUGUGAAAGCCCGGGGCUUAACCUCGGAAUUGCAUUUGAAAACUGGCAGGCUAGAGUCUUGUAGAGGGGGUAGAAUUUCAGGUGUAGCGGUGAAAAUGCGUAGAGAUCUGAAGGAAUACCAGUGGCGAAGGCGGCCCCCCUGGACAAAGACUGACGCUCAGAUGCGAAAGCGUGGGGAGCAAACAGGAUUAGAUACCCUGGUAG